AUGCUAGGUGGAAUUAUCCCCUGUGCAUCUGGCGUCGCAAUAAAGAAUGCUUCUAACAUAACAUACAAACAAGUGUUAGAGAGUUCUUUUACGACUGACUUUUCCAGUAACAGUUUAAACCAGUUUCAUGUCCUUGUCCAUGGUCCAGGGGCUGUUACACCCAUGGGUUCAUGUUCAAUCAUGAGGCCUGUUGUUCCUUUAUCAGUCUGAACCAAAGUACAGCCAACUUGAUUAGGAGUUGAGCGUCUCCAUUGCAGUUGCCAAACUGUUAGCAAAAAGGACUUGCUCGCAUUUUCUUUUCUUCCAGUUUGUGCAUGUGUACAGGAAAGAAGGCAGCAGAAGUGCACACUAGCUAAAACACCUUUUAUUGCCAGCAAUAAAGGUGCCUCUCGGCUGGGCGCCUGAGAAGGACCCCAUGUUACACUCUUGAUUCUUUAUAUACAAUUUUAAGACGACUCACAUACACGCUUUUACAAUUUGCAUAACCUAUUGGCUUUGGCCAUGACACCGCUUGCUACCAUUCACUUUUGAGCGACCGCCCCCCUCUGCAAGCAAGCUUAAUGCAUCUUUAUUAGCUGAGUUUGCACUAUUUUGUUGCAACUUUGCUGCUUUCAGCUGGUUUGGUCUGGUUUCUUCUAACAGCAGGCCCUCUUGUACAGGUGAGGUCAUUGUCAGUCAAGUUCUAUUGCACAUGUCUUUGAAGCCAGCUUUACAUUGGAGCUUUUUCUUAUGCAGCAGCAGCAUGCUUGCUCAGAACAGGUGAGUUCAGAAAACUGUGGAGCAGAAGAGCAAAAAUUUGUUUGCUCUUGAUUUUCCGUGCAAAUACAGAGGGUGAACAGUGAGGCCUCAUGAUCCUUCUGACUUUUCAUAUUUUAAGCAGAAAGUCUCAAAAUAGUUACCAUAGAGAUAAUUGAUCUGAGGUGGUUACGCAUUUUAGGCAUGACUUUUUUUUAUUUGGAGAUGUUGGCUCUUUGUUUCAUAUUGAAGACGACUUAGCCAAGUGCUGGGUAAUUCAUCCACAACCAGGGAACAUGAACUGUGUUUGGACUAUGGUUAGACAAGUUACUUUUUCCUUUCCAAUGAAGUAUUGUUGCAAUGGUGAUUGUGCUCAGCAAAAGAGCAAUCAUGCGCUCAGAGCCUUGGCGUAUGUGCUUGAUCACGGAACCAGUGGGGCAAAGACUGAAUGCCUCUAAAUCACAAUCACCCCUAGACCCAACCAUACUGCAACAUCACAGU
rnacentral:ncRNA from 1 species